GGAGAGUGGCAGACGGGUGAGUAACGCGUGGGAAUCUACCUGAUGGUACGGAAUAACUCAGGGAAACUUGAGCUAAUACCGUAUGUGCCCGAGAGGGGAAAGAUUUAUCGCCAUCAGAUGAGCCCGCGUCGGAUUAGCUAGUUGGUGAGGUAAAAGCUCACCAAGGCGACGAUCCGUAGCUGGUCUGAGAGGAUGAUCAGCCACACUGGGACUGAGACACGGCCCAGACUCC
rnacentral:rRNA from 1 species